UAUAUAGGUACCACUCGAAAUAUUCCAUGUUAAUUCUUCAAAGCAAGCACUGUCAAUUCUUACAAAGUAAAGAAAUUUUUAACAAUGUCAAUUGGUACUUUUUGAGGUUGAAACAGCUUCAAAACUGGUGUAUUAAUGGUUAUGUUUAUAUUUGAUUUCAGCCAGUUGAAAAGCGUUUAUGGAUGUGAAAUCAACUAACCAAGAUUUUAUUUUUCAGUAUAGAGUAUUGAAGGCUCAAAUUUUUUCAAUUUCUUUUCUGACAGUAGUUCCGAUUGUAUGAAUUGACUCUUUUCGCUGCAAAAGUAACUCACAAACCAAAGUGUAGUGUCAACUUUUAAAAUUACAGAAUUAAGUCUCUUUCUAUCAACUUUUCUUCAUUUUUCCUUUUUUUUACAAAUGUUUGACAAGCUGAUUUUAAGGGUAAAUAUUAUAGAAACAAUUAAGAAUCAUUCUGCAUUUAUUGAAUA